rnacentral:rRNA from 1 species
GAUGAACGCUGGCGGCGUGCCUAAUACAUGCAAGUCGAGCGAAUGGAUUAAGAGCUUGCUCUUAUGAAGUUAGCGGCGGACGGGUGAGUAACACGUGGGUAACCUGCCCAUAAGACUGGGAUAACUCCGGGAAACCGGGGCUAAUACCGGAUAACAUUUUGAACCGCAUGGUUCGAAAUUGAAAGGCGGCUUCGGCUGUCACUUAUGGAUGGACCCGCGUCGCAUUAGCUAGUUGGUGAGGUAACGGCUCACCAAGGCAACGAUGCGUAGCCGACCUGAGAGGGUGAUAGGCCACACUGGGACUGAGACACGGCCCAGACUCCUACGGGAGGCAGCAGUAGGGAAUCUUCCGCAAUGGACGAAAGUCUGACGGAGCAACGCCGCGUGAGUGAUGAAGGCUUUCGGGUCGUAAAACUCUGUUGUUAGGGAAGAACAAGUGCUAGUUGGAUAAGCUGGCACCUUGACGGUACCUAACCAGAAAGCCACGGCUAACUACGUGCCAGCAGCCGCAGUAA